rnacentral:rRNA from 1 species
UACGAGGGGGGCGAGCGUUGUUCGGAAUUAUUGGGCGUAAAGGGUGCGUAGGCGGUUUGGUAAGUCUGGUGUGAAAUCUAUGGGCUCAACUCAUAGUCUGCAUCGGAAACUGCCGGGCUUGAGUGUGGGAGAGGUGAGUGGAAUUCCUGGUGUAGCGGUGAAAUGCGUAGAUAUCAGGAGGAACACCGGUGGCGAAGGCGGGUCUCUGGGCCGGUACCGACGCUGAGGAGCGAAAGCGUGGGGAGCGAACAGG